AAUACGUUCCCGGGCCUUGUACACACCGCCCGUCACACCACGAAAGUCGGCAACACCCGAAGCCGGUGGCCUAACCCGUAAGGGAGGGAGCCGUCGAAGGUGGGGGUUGGUGAUUGGGGUG
rnacentral:rRNA from 1 species